rnacentral:rRNA from 1 species
GACGAACGCUGGCGGCGUGCUUAACACAUGCAAGUGGUGCGACGAACCAGGCUUCGGCCUGGGGCGAAGCCGCGAACGGGUGAGUAACACGUGGGCAAUCUGCCCCGUCGAUCGGGACAACCCGGGGAAACCCGGGCUAAUACCGAAUGUGGUGCCGGCUCAUGUGAGCCGGGACGAAAGGAAGCUUCGGCCUCCGCGACGGGAUGAGCCCGCGGGCCAUUAGCUUGUUGGUGGGGUAAUGGCCUACCAAGGCAACGAUGGGUAGCUGGUCUGAGAGGACGAUCAGCCACACUGGGACUGAGACACGGCCCAGACUCCUACGGGAGGCUGCAGUGGGGAAUCUUGCGCAAUGAGCGACAGCUUGACGCAGCAACGCCGCGUGGGGGAAGAAGGCUUUCGGGUCGUAAAACUCUGUUGUUGGGGAAGAACAAGUGCUAGUUACCUAAGCUGGCACCUUGACGGUACCUAACCAGAAAGCCACGGCUAACUACGUGCCAGCAGCCGCGGUAA